rnacentral:rRNA from 1 species
ACGGGAGGCAGCAGUGGGGAAUAUUGGGCAAUGGGCGGAAGCCUGACCCAGCAACGCCGCGUGAGGGAAGAAGGUUUUCGGAUUGUAAACCUCUGUCCUUGAUGACGAACACAAUGACGGUAAUCAAGGAGGAAGCCCCGGCUAACUACGUGCCAGCAGCCGCGGUAAUACGUAGGGGGCGAGCGUUGUCCGGAAUGACUGGGCGUAAAGGGCGUGUAGGCGGCACUGUAAGUCCGGAGUGAAAGUCCUGCUUUCAAGGUGGGAAUUGCUUUGGAUACUGUUGGACUUGAGUGCGGAAGAGGUAAGUGGAAUUCCCAGUGUAGCGGUGAAAUGCGUAGAGAUUGGGAGGAACACCAGUGGCGAAGGCGACUUACUGGGCCGUAACUGACGCUGAGGCGCGAAAGCGUGGGGAGCGAACAGGAUUAGAUACCCUGGUA